rnacentral:rRNA from 1 species
CCCUUAGAUGUUCUGGGCUGCACGCGCGCUACACUGACGCACGCAACAGGUGCCUGCUCCGAGAGGACUGGGUAAUCAUUUGAGUGUGCGUCGUGAUGGGGAUAGAAUAUUGUAAUUAUUACUCUUCAACGAGGAAUUCCUAGUAAGCGCCAGUCAGCAGCUUGCGCUGAUUACGUCCCUGCCCUUUGUGCACACCGCCCGUCGCUCCUACCGAUGGGUGAUCCGGUGAAUGAUUCGGACUUCAGCGGCUCCCCUGGGGUGCGCCGGAGAAAGUUUUGUGAACCUUAUCACUUGGAGGAAGGAGAAGUCGUAACA